rnacentral:rRNA from 1 species
CUCUUAGUAACGGCGAGUGAACAGGGAUGAGCUCAAGUUGAAAAUCGGCGGUUUACCGUUGAAUUGUAGUCUCUUGAAACACUGCCAGUGGCUGCUUUGGUUUGAGUCUCUUGGAAUAGAGCACCAUAGAGGGUGAUAGUCCCGUCUUAUCCAAAUGUCAACUACAUACGGUAGACUUUCUUAGAGUCGCGUUUCUUGCAAUUGAAGCGCUAAGUGGGUGAUAAACUUCAUCUAAAGCUAAAUAUUAGCAAGAGUCCGAUAGAGCACAAGUACCGUGAGGGAAAGAUGAAAAGAACUCUGGAAAGAGAGUUAAAAGGAACUGAAAUUGCCAAAAGGAAAGUGGAGGGAUGAGGCGAUUCGUUUAAGUCUUGUGUGUAGAGUAUGAAUCUCUUAUGCAGUACUUAAAGAAACUUCGGAAACAAUGUGAAAUAAAGGCUUGCCAUGAUAGAGUCUGCUCUUUGAGUUAGUUGUAUUGUGGUUGGCUUUAUGAAAUAUUGUGAAAUUCUCUAAGUAUGAUUUACUUAG